rnacentral:tRNA from 1 species
AAGAAAGUGGCAGAGUGGUGAUGCGAGUGGCUUGAAACUACUAAACGGGGGUUCGAUUCCCUCCUUUCUCG